UCAUCGAGCGGGCGGAAAAGGACGCCAUUUGCACCCUUCAACAUGGAGAGUAAUACAAGUGAAGAUGACAACCCUGGUAGAGCAGUGGACUCUCAAACAUGUAAAAGCCAUAACACAAGAGUGUUUUUGGAGAGCCUCCCAAAAGACAUUCGCAAGGACCAAGUGGAUAAAACAUUUUCCCGCUUUGGCAAGAUUGCGAAGGUGUACCUAAUCUACGACCCACCUGGUUCAGGCUUUGUGGAAUACUUCGACGCCCGAGAUGCUGAAUAUGCAGCCAACCAGAUGGACGGGGCUGAUUUUAUGGGGUCUCGGGUAUCAGCCCGUGUCACAAGAGGAGGGGUAGCCCGUGGUCGCGGCCGUGGUUAUAGUCGAGGUGGCUAUGACAGAGGUGGUAGAGGGGGUGGUGGGGGCUAUUACUCAAGCAGCUACAGCAGCGGCGGCCAGGGCUACUAUCCAAGGGGAGGUGGGGGAUAUAGGGGUGGAUUUUCCCGAGGGGGUUACAGGGGUUCUGAUAGGGGUGGCUACAGUAGUCGUGGAGGUUAUUCACGUGGAGGAGGUUACUCCAGAGGUGGUGGAGGCUUCUCACGUGGUGGCAACUAUUCCCGUGGAGGUGGCUACUCACGUGGUGGCAGCCACUCCAGAGGGUUCUCUCGCGGAGGCUACAGUGGAGGCUCCGGCAACUACGACAACUACUCCUAUGACAAGUAUGAAAAGUCGUAUGACAAGCCAGCUGAGAACGGCUACUCUCGCUACCCCUCUGGUGACAAGUACAAGUCCCACUAUUCAGAUGACAAGUAUGACAAGUAUGUGAACUACAGCGGGUCGCGCCGGGAGGAGUACCAGCGCAGCCGUUCACCAGUCAGCCAUUCACCUGAUCGAUAUCGUUCUGCCUCUCCGGGCUACCAGCGCACCAGGUCGCGGUCGCCAAUUGGUGGUGGGUAUGGCAGCUCUUCUCGCUACUACCCUGCCUCCUCCCCCCCUCCCUCAUCCAGGGAGGUCAUCCGAACCUCGCGCUCUCGUGACUCGCGCGACUAUAGCCCAGACCGGGCUUACUCUCGCAAGGAAUACUCCAGGUAGAAUGAUGUAUGGCAUCGUUGAGAUAUCACCUUGAAUUGAUAACCAAUAUGUUCAUCUUAUGGAGGACGCCGGAGCCCUGUCGAUGCCCACUACUAGAAAACAUUGCGAGUGAGAUCACUUGCAACAGCUAUAUGAUGCUGAGAAAGAGAAGAGGACCUGUAUAACAUACCAGAAAAAUAAUGACUAAAUAGGAUUUUGAAGGUUUAUCUUUGUUGUAAAAGUUUUGGAAAAUACUGUGUAGUGAGUAGCACUUGGGAAUAUAUGUUAACUAAGUCGGUUUAUACUGAACAUGAGCGUAUUGUUGAUUUAUUUGAAAAAUGUGGUAAUGAUGAAAAGUUUUACAGCCUUAUUGUACAUGAUUUGAAAAUCCUUAAAACUAAAGAAAGUAUACAGAGUAAUGAAAAACUUCCCCGCCCCUGAACGCACAACCUGUACCUAGUAAAAAUAAAAUUGCUUCACGCCGGAGUUAUUAGGAACAUUUUAUAAGUGUUUAGUGCAGACAAGCAAAGACUGCCAAAUAUUAUAAAGUAAUGAAAAAUAAGUAAAACAGAACAAAAGGGUUCAGGUGAUACAGGGCUGUUAUGGGUAAGUUAUGUCAGCUGUGGAACUUUUCUCACCGCAGGCUUGAACCAUUCUCUUGUUAACUUGGUUGGAUCUCUGGAAAUGUUACACAUAGAGAAUAACUAUCGUUGAGUACAAGAUUUACAAGGGCGCGGAAUCUGCUCUUAGGACAUGAGAAUGGUUUAUAGGCUUUUGGAUCCUUUGAAAGUUUUGAAGUAGAUUAACAAUGUGCAUUUUACGGUAAGUUAGUGGUUCAGCAAUCUUGCAUUAAGUUCUUACUGGAUAAGAUAUAGUUUUACAUGUGCUUCUGUAACCUGUUUGCAUUGGAAAAAAAAGUAAUGGUGUAUCUGUAAACUGGAUUAAUGAUGGUCUGUAAAAAGUUGAAAUAUUUACAAUCUCAGUCACUUUCAUCUAUAUAAAACUCAUUACAUUAUUUUCCUUUUCUAAUUGUAUCUUUGUGUAGAAGAGGGGAGUUGUGUGGAAGUGAUGCUGUCUCUGUAUAAAGGAAAAAGUAUAGGUAAGAAUUUAAGUGGAGUUAAAGAUGACCACUCCAUGAUCAUGGAAAGAGAAAGUGCAACUCACAUCUGGGUAUUUGUGCCAAUUUAUGGGACACUGGUAAAACUGGUGACCAUGGGUGCAUAAGAUAAUUAGUUGAAAAGAUUUAAGUUCAGAAAGAGACUGAUGCAGUACAAGAAAAAAGAUAAUUGUUUUGAGCAGAAAGGACAACUCAUUUUACACAUUUUUUAGUAUCCAAAAGUCGCCAGUUGUUCACAUAUGAGAAAAUAUCAACAGAAUUAGUUUGUGGAAGGACCCUGGUGGUGAACACUCAGACUUUUGUAUGCAUGUUUACAGUGUAAACUAGCUGGCAAUUUCUACUUUGUACCUUUUAAUUUUUUAAUGGUAGUGCAGAACUGGUCACAAAGAGACAGGAAAAGAAAAUUCAGAUUCUAUUUAAUUUUUAAAGCAUUUGUGACAAGCCAUGUCUGCUCCACUAAGGGAGUAAACAUUGCUAACAAACUACUGGUCAUGUUUUGACUGUGUUUAUAUUUCCACUUUGAAAUUGUACACCUUUAAUAAAUGGUCUAAAAGUC
rnacentral:misc_RNA from 1 species